UAAGGAAUAUUGGUCAAUGGACGCAAGUCUGAACCAGCCAUGCCGCGUGGAGGAUGAAGGCCCUCUGGGUUGUAAACUUCUUUUAUUUGGGACGAAACACUUCUUUUCUAGGAAGCUUGACGGUACCAGAUGAAUAAGCACCGGCUAACUCCGUGCCAGCAGCCGCGGUAAUACGGAGGGUGCAAGCGUUAUCCGGAUUCACUGGGUUUAAAGGGUGCGUAGGCGGACAUGUAAGUCCGUGGUGAAAUCUCUAAGCUUAACUUGGAAACUGCCAUGGAUACUAUAUGUCUUGAAUGUUGUGGAGGUUAGCGGAAUAUGUCAUGUAGCGGUGAAAUGCAUAGAUAUGACAUAGAACACCAAUUGCGAAGGCAGCUGGCUACACAAAUAUUGACGCUGAGGCACGAAAGCGUGGGGAUCAAACA
rnacentral:rRNA from 1 species